rnacentral:rRNA from 1 species
UUUUUCCGUCCCAUCACCCCCACACCAACCCACCGAGAACCCCGCCCACGCAGGAUCGGCCUGCCGUAGAACCUCAUACCCCGCACCAGAUCUCGCCGCCUGAGUCCAUCUGGAUCUCCGCCUGAGUCCAUCUGGAUCUCGCCGCCCGACUCCAUCUGGAUCUGCACAGUCCACAGCGCCGCCGUCGCGGAACCACUCGACAGCACCGCCGCCACGGAACCACUGGACAACGCCGCCGCCGCGGAACCACGACAGCGACAUAGGAGUUCCCGUGGGCGACUCUGUACGGAUUCAACCCCAGGUAUGAACACCCAGGCUUUGUUUGUUAUGCAUACGUGUACAGAUCAGAACAUAUACAACUGUCCACAAAUGUAAUACAUGAUAACUUGGGAGGAACAUAUACAACUUUCGGUUACUCUAUACAUGACAGGCAGAGCCAACUAUUACAAUCAUCCUUUGGUUAAUUACCGAACCGAUCCACAACAGUAAGUGCAAUGGUUGUAGUCAAAAACAAUGGGCGAACUGGGCCAAGCAUCUAAAGGUCCUUUGGUUAGAGCAGGUCUACCCUUUCAGCCACAACAAGUACUUGGAUAUUCAUUACUUCUCCAUAUUCACCCAGAAGGAUACUCUCAAAGAUCCAUACCUGGUUAAUAGCAUAGUGUUGGGCUUCACAUGACAAAAGGAAAAAUAAUUACCUCCCCGAUUGUACCAUCCUCAAAGUCAGCAUUGAAGGAUUCAGAAAUAUUGCCGAACGUCAUACCCUCCAAGACAUCAUAAUUAUAUGGACCUGGAAUAAACCAAACGAAUAAAAGGAUGAAAGCAAACAAAAACUAAAUCAAGCCAUGCCAUAAUUCAUUUUGCACCUAUGGUACACAUGAAAUUAACCGACAUAUCUAUUGCUAUUUUGUUACAACAGAAACUGAUUCUCAACUCAAAUGUAGUGCAAAUAAAAAUAGAUCUUGUGUAAUACAGUUAUGUGCUUGAUAACAAAAAUACAACGUAAAUGAUUAACAUAAUACGGGAGGUCAGAGCUGGCAUGUGCAGUCGUGGUAGUCAUUUUUCCUGUUAACAGGCUCCAAUACUCAGACCAAGCAACCCCGAUCAUGUUUAUAACCAGCAAAUUCAGUUUUCAAAUAAAUAUUUCUGAGCAAAGUCUGUUGGACAUGUCUUUCUAUUUUCAGUUGUAUAGCAAAGCU